CAAGUGCUCACUAUUCACUUGUCAACCAAUGCUUGUUGAACUCUUGGCCGGCGUGGGGUAGGGCACACCCCUGCCUUCUGCCUCUCAGGAAGCCAUUCAUUCAUUUUCAAGUACUUGUGGAACAGCCGGUGGUCAUUGUGCAACCUUGGCAGGCUCGGGGCUCCUGCCACCUCCUGAGAAGCCUCACCACCCAUGGUCUGGGGCGUGUCCCCCGUCGCUGGGAUACCUUGCUCACCCAGCUGAGCCUGCCACUCUUCUGUUGAAUCUGUUAAGCA
rnacentral:lncRNA from 1 species